rnacentral:rRNA from 1 species
CCUACGGGUGGCAGCAGUGAGGAAUAUUGGUCAAUGGACGAGAGUCUGAACCAGCCAAGUAGCGUGAAGGAUGACUGCCCUAUGGGUUGUAAACUUCUUUUAUCUGGGAAUAAAAUGUUCCCCGUGUGGGAUUUUGUAUGUACCCUAUGAAUAAGGAUCGGCUAACUCCGUGCCAGCAGCCGCGGUAAUACGGAGGAUCCGAGCGUUAUCCGGAUUUAUUGGGGUUAAAGGGAGCGUAGGUGGAUUGUUAAGUCAGUUGUGAAAGUUUGCGGCUCAACCGUAAAAUUGCAGUUGAAACUGGCAGUCUUGAGUACAGUAGAGGUGGGCGGAAUGCGUGGUGUAGCGGUGAAAUGCUUAGAUAUCACGAAGAACUCCGAUUGCGAAGGCAGUUCACUGGACUGCAACUGACACUGAGGCUCGAAAGUGUGGGUAUCAAACAGGAUUAGAUACCCGGGUAGUC